GUUUAGGUAUUCAAUUAUGAUUUUAAAUUGCAAAUUUAAAGGUAAAUUAAAUUUUCUAAACU
rnacentral:tRNA from 1 species